UCUAAUCUUAGCACAUAGGGCGAUUUACCCCUUUCUUUGAAUUACAAUGCCUAACUUCUUUGAAUUCCAAACCCUUUACUAGACUUAACACUUUUGUAUCCCCCUUAGAACUCUAAACUCUUACUCUUUU
rnacentral:sRNA from 1 species